rnacentral:rRNA from 1 species
GAAUAUUGGUCAAUGGGCGCAAGCCUGAACCAGCCAAGUCGCGUGAGGGAAGACGGUCCUAUGGGUUGUAAACUUCUUUUGUGUGGGAAUAAAGUGCGGCACGUGUGCCGUUUUGUAUGUACCAUACGAAUAAGGAUCGGCUAACUCCGUGCCAGCAGCCGCGGUAAUACGGAGGAUCCGAGCGUUAUCCGGAUUUAUUGGGUUUAAAGGGAGCGUAGGCGGGACGUUAAGUCAGUUGUGAAAGUUUGCGGCUCAACCGUAAAAUUGCAGUUGAUACUGGCGUCCUUGAGUGCGGCAGAGGCAGGCGGAAUUCGUGGUGUAGCGGUGAAAUGCUUAGAUAUCACGAAGAACUCCGAUUGCGAAGGCAGCUUGCUGGACCGUAACUGACGCUGAUGCUCGAAAGUGCGGGUAUCAAACAGG